UACGAAGGGGGCUAGCGUUGCUCGGAAUCACUGGGCGUAAAGCGCACGUAGGCGGCUUUCUAAGUCAGGGGUGAAAUCCUGGAGCUCAACUCCAGAACUGCCUUUGAUACUGGAGAGCUCGAGUCCGGAAGAGGUGAGUGGAACUCCGAGUGUAGAGGUGAAAUUCGUAGAUAUUACGGAAGAACACCAGUGGCGAAGGCGGCUCACUGGUCCGGUACUGACGCUGAU
rnacentral:rRNA from 1 species